rnacentral:rRNA from 1 species
AUUGAACGCUGGCGGCAGGCCUAACACAUGCAAGUCGAGCGGUUGAGAGUAGCUUGCUACUUGAUGCAGCGGCGGACGGGUGAGUAAUGCAUGGGAAUCUGCCUGGUAGUGGGGGACAACGUUUCGAAAGGAACGCUAAUACCGCAUACGCCCUACGGGGAAAGGGGGGAGGUCUUCGGACCUCUCGCUAUCAGAUGAGCCACUGUCAGAUUAGCUAGUUGGGGGGGUAAAGGGACCCACCCAAGGCGACGAUCUGUAACUGGUCUGAGAGGAUGAUCAGUCACACUGGAACUGAGACACGGUCCAGACUCCUACGGGAGGCAGCAGUGGGGAAUAUUGGACAAUGGGCGAAAGCCUGAUCCAGCCAUGCCGCGUGUGUGAAGAAGGGCCUUCGGGUU